rnacentral:rRNA from 1 species
GUGCCAGCCGCCGCGGUAAUACGUAGGGAGCGAGCGUUGUCCGGAAUUACUGGGCGUAAAGGGCGCGUAGGCGGCCGAUUAAGUUAGAUGUGAAAAACCGGGGCUCAACUCCGGGAUGGCAUUUAAGACUGGUCGGCUUGAGGGUGAGAGAGGAAAGUGGAAUUCCUAGUGUAGCGGUGAAAUGCGUAGAUAUUAGGAGGAACACCAGUGGCGAAGGCGACUUUCUGGCUCAUACCUGACGCUGAGGCGC